UCCGGUCCAGCCCAAAUCAACCAAACUCAAUCUAGUCACACUCUCGAGCAGAAUUCGAGUUUGGUCGAGAGCAUAUGCUUCCUUAGUCGCAUAAAUAUGAGAUUCACUUCUCAUGACUUAUAGAAAAGUCAGGAUUAUGAGCAUUAAAAUUUAGUGAUGCAUCUAAUAAUUUACCUUCCAUUGACAUUAGUGCCAAAUCAGACUAGCAUUUCACAUAGAGAAAGGGUUCUCUCACUGUUUAGACUAGAAAGUAAUAUCUGAUGGAAGUCUCCAAAAACAAGCAUUUGGGAUUCAGAAAAUUCAACACAUAUCUCUUCCUCCUCAUGAUUCAGCACAAGAGCACAGGUAUGGCUCUGCCAUGUUAAAAUCUGCUACAUAGAAAUUGGCAGCCAAAUAACAGCCUCUGGAUCAAUCCUUCCUCAUCUGCUGCGCCUGGGUGACAAGUCAGCUGAUCUAGAUCUAGAUCCAGAGAGUGACCUUGAAGCUCUACCAGGUGAUGGC
rnacentral:misc_RNA from 1 species